AGUGAGCCCUAAUUCUCACAUUCUCUUCUCUCACGCCGCCAACUUUUUCUCUCAACGUCAAUGAACCCAGAUUUAUAGAGUCCAUUCAUUCUCAGCUUGAGAGAUAUCCCAUGGAGGAGGAGACACCAGAUAUUUGGAAAAUCAAAGUUCUCGAGCAAUCUUUCUUUGUCGGAAUGGGCGGUAUUGGAAAAUCUUUGCAUAUCAAAUCACACAUUCAAGGUGAAUUAUGACAUCACCUUCAAGUCUCGUCGAAGACUCUUAUGCGGUCCUGAGGACCCUUCCGUAUUAUAUCUUCAGAGACAACACGUCUCUAAUAAUAUAUGGGCAGGCAGAAGACGUACGUUGCAGAAGAUAUGAAGGAAUCAUUUGGGAUGUUCCCAUACAUCCGCGUGUUUUGGCAGUAAUAGACGAGAUGGGGUUCAGCGGCAUAUUGAGGUGUGGUCAAUCAAAGGACAUUGACCACCAUCUUAUCACCACGUUGAUUGAACGAUGGGGGCCAGAGACUCACACGUUUCACUUUCCAGUCAGUGAAGCGACAGUGACAAUGGAAGACGUGGAGGUCUUAUGGGGCCUCAAAGUUGAUAGUGAUGCUUUGACGGGUUACAUUCCCAUUAAGGAUGUCAACUAUUGGAUGCAACUUUCUCUGGAUUAUCUUGAAUUUGUACCAGAUACAGUUGAGUUGAAAGAAAUGAUUUGGAAACAGACAAGCUUAUCAAAUCAACUAAGAAUUUAGUUGAGUGAUGAACACGACCACUAUAUAUAUGUUCAACGUGCUCGUGUUUAUUGUCUGCUUUUACUUGGUGGUCUGAUGAUCUCGAACACCUCCGGAAAUAAAAUUUCUUUCUUCUACUUGCAAUUUUUCAUGGAUGUAGAACGAUGUUCUAGCUAUAGUUGAGGUGGUGCGACUCUUGCUUGUUUGUAUCACAAUUUAUGUGAAGCUGUCCUUGCUAGUAGGAGCGAUGUCGGGAGAGCUUGUACUUUGUUACAAUUGUGGGCUUGGGAGAUAAUCCCAAAUAUUAGACCGAAGAUGCUAAAUCCCGUGACUACGCACCAUGUGCAGUCGUGUAAGUUGUUCAUUAAUUAAUUUUUUAAGCAUAAUUUUCAUUAAUUUCCUUGUUAUUCGCUCAUAAUUUAAUUUUUUUAGAUGGAGUGGUAUAGCGUCCAUAUGGACGUCGAUCACAACCCAUAUUUGCUAGAAUUUGGUUGAGUCAUACUUGCCACAGCGAGUGCUGCGACAAUUUGGGAUUGUCCAACCGUAAAUCCCGCUCCUCAACCGGUUCCACGGUACUGAUUUUGUGAAAUAGGAUUGUCGUGGUAAAUCUGGUCGAAAUUGGGUUAAGUACCACGCCAAUCAUAUACAGGAGUGGGACAAUAGGCACAACUUGGUGUGGACUGAUAUGGAGUACUCAAAUGAGCCUAUUGCAACUGAUGAAUAUAUGGAUUGGUUUCGCCGAAUAACUGUGGUGUACUUAACUAAACCUGGCGUGCAUGCUCAAGAGGGCUUCCAUGAAACGACAUCUUCUCAUAGCUUCGCGGUGGAGACGCUUCAAAAAAUACGUCACUUUCUAAGUGGGCAAGAUAUGACAUGAAGACCAGAUUUGGUAACAAUUUCGAGGAUGGUUGAAGAUGGUCUGCAGAUAUCUGGGGAGGCUGAGAUGAUGGACUACCGUCAUUCCCAGCGCUCUGAGCUGAACAUUGACAUGCCCGUGAGACAAAAAGGGAACGACGUGGAAAGAAGAAAAUUGCUUGUGGAGAGUCGUCAUCUUCAAGGAUUGAUGCUCAUUUGGUAGAUGAUUCCGAUGAAGAUUUUGUGCCUCCACCUAGAUCUGCAGUUCGAGGUCGUUAUUCUGUCAGCCACACUGGUGGUACAGGUGAAGAUAUUGGUCUCAGUGAUGUCCACCAUUCUCCACCUCGGUCUUCUGUACGAGAUGAUUUUUUUGGGGUGGAUUUAGAUAAUGUUGUUGUUCAAGAUACUCCUCCCUCUAGACUCUCUACUUCCAGAAUCGGGAAAGGGAUCUGUGGCCUGUUUAUACGGAGAAGGCGAGACAAUUGAACUAAACUACAUCUAUUUUUAUUUGUUUAUUGAGUUGAACUUCGUGUUUGUGAACCUUGUAAUCUUUAUAUUUGAUAAUUUUACAACUCAUCUUUCUAUUCUUAUUUA